GCGGACGUGGCGGAAUGGUAGACGCUGGGGACUUAAAAUCCUCUGCCGAUGGCGUGCGGGUUCGAGUCCCGCCGUCCGCA
rnacentral:tRNA from 1 species